CCACACCUGCAGCAUAUGCAAGUUCCCAGGCUAGGGGUCGAAUAGAAGCCACAGCUGCUGGCCUAUGCCAAAGACAUAGCAACACGGGAUCCAAGCCACAUCUGUGACCUACACUGCAGCUCACAGCAAUGCUGGAUCCUUGACCCAACAAGUGAGGCCAGGGAUUGAACCCAUGUCCUCAUGGAUACUACUUGGGUUUGUUUUCUCUCUGCCACAACAGAAACUCCCUACACUUUCAGGGGGGAAAAAAAAUCAGUAAGUCCCUUUCCCCAAAUGUGCCUGGACCCCAAAGCACAUGAUCAAUGAAGACGAUUGGGUUGAAAAAGAUGCCUUGAAGGGUCAUCUCUGCUCUGAUGACACCUUUACUCCCAGCCUCCAAGAGGUUCAUGGAAUACCAGUUUCAAAACCAAUGAUCCAAUCCAACUCCCUCAAUUAUACUCAAGGAAACCUGAAUUCCAGAAAAAUCAAGGAACUUGCCCACAGUCAAGCGGCAGCUUGCCUAAAUGAACUACUAAUUUCAGAAGUCCUGGCUCAGAGUAUUUAGUCAUUAAAAUAUUUAACCAGUGAUGUAGCAAUAACCAAAAUGCAUAUCUGUAGGGGAGAAUCAAAAGCAGGACUCAAAAUUUUAUAAAUUUAUUUAUGUGUAAAGAUAAACAUAUGUAUAAAUGAUGUAUAUAUAUUAUACAUAUAUAUUCAACCACAACUACGGUUAAUGAACAUAACAUUGCAGAAAAGAAUGGGAAAGAAAUGUAUCACAUACUAAUUGAAGUUACACUUGAUAAUGGGCCUGGGGGCAUUUCUCCCACCCUUUUUUGGGGGCCCAACCAGCAGCAUGUGGAAGUUCACAGGCCAGGGAUCAAACCCAUGCUGUAGUAGCAACACCACCAGAUCCUUAACCUGCUGUGCCACAAGGAAACUCUCCACCUAUUUUUCUUUAAUAAGUAUGUAUUACUUUUGUAAUAAUAAUUUAAAAUAAAAUUUAAAAAAACAAGAAAAGUUAAAAAUAUAGGACCUGGUUCUAUAACAAAGCAUCAUGGUUAAUGAAACAUGGCCUUUGGCAAAAGACAGACCGUACUUUGCUCUCAGCAUCUCCAUUCAUAGCCUACUCCUUGAAUUUCAUCUUAUCAAUUUGAAAAAUGGGCAUAAUCAAAUACCUCCUUCACAAGGUUUCUGUCAUUACUUUAAAAAUCAUAUUGUGAAAGCUGAUGUGGCUGCACAAAUGGACAUUCCCACCAACAGUGUACACUUAAUACUUGUGACAACAUGAAUGGACUUUGAGGGCAUUAUGCCAAAGGAGGUAAGUCAGUCAAAAAAUCCAUACAAAUACUAUAUGAUUUUGCUUGUAUGUGGACUCUAAAAAACAAAUGAACAAACAAAAUAAAACAAAACUCAUAAAUACAGAGAAGAGAUUGGUAGCUAUCAGAGGGGAAGAGGGUUGGAGGUAAGCAAAACAGGUGAAGGAGUCAAUUACUUGGAGACAGAUGGCAACUAGACUUACUGUGGUGAUCAGCUCUGCAGUGUGUUCAAACAUCAGACUAUGUUGUAGAAUACAAAACAAAUACAUUAUAUGUCAAUCAUACUUCAAUAGAGAAAGGAUUUUUUUUCUCAUAUUUGCUAUCAUAUUCAAUAACUACUGUCCCCUACAGCUCACGAUGAAAGCACACCAUCUAAUAGUGGGCUAACCUUUUUUUUUCUCAAAAUAAGAACGACAUGUUAAUUACCAAAAAAACUUGCACAGAUAUGCAGGUUUAAGAAUCAGAAAUCAGUGAUGAUAGUGUUUCCUAAACAUGUUUUGUGGAAUAAUAAUCUGAUAAAAUGCUCCAUGCUUUAAAAAAAAAAAAAAAAAAAAAGUCUAGAUAAGCCUUGGACCUGCAUACUGUAAUCUUUUUUUUUUUUUCCCUUGUCUUUUUGUCUUUUUAGGGCCACACCCUCGGCAUAUGGGGUCUAAUUGGAGCUAUAGCUGCUGGCCUAUGCCACAGCCACAGCAAUGUGGGAUCCAAGCUGCGUCUGUGACCUACACCAGAGCUCACAGCAAUGCCAGAUCCUCAACCCACUGAGCAAGGAGAGGGAUCGAACCCACAACCUCAUGGUUCCUUGUCGGAUUCACUAACCACUGAGCCACGAUGGGAACUCCAUACUGUAAUCUUUCUAGGGUUAGCAGCCCACCUUAGCAUGUUAGAAGCUCCAGGGAAUCUUCCAGUAAAGAAGCUCCACCAGCAUUUCUUCAACUGACUUCAUCAAAGCUGCCCUGCUCUCUACCUCUUUUCCUCCCCAGUAACUAUUAACUCCUGAUGGACACACUGGGAGGUACUGGCUCAUGUCUUAUACUUGAAUUCAGGUCUUCAGACUUCCAAGUCCAAACAUGUCUCUCCUGAACCCCAAAAUCUGACUCUGGAAUAAAGAUUCCCAAUUUCCCAGACCAAAUUAACAACCAACUAAUGGGAGUAGCGCUUAAAAGCUAUUCCAGGCAGUGCAAAAGAACUGGCAUUCUUUCUUCUGAGCAUCUGCGCUGCUGUGCACCUUCCCCGCAUUCUCUAGAGUUUCAGUGUUUGUCUAGCCUGUCCCAGGGGACUAUGAGUGACGGAGGAAGUGACACAAAGUUAAGCAUCCACACAGCUCACCUUCCCAGGGCCCAGUUCACAUCUAAGGAAGUGCCCUUGCAACUUAGCAACAUGUAGAUGAUAUAAUGAAAAGUAAACCAACUGCAAAUGCCAUUGAUAUUGGAAACUGCUUUAAAACAAUCUGAAUGAUCAGGGAGAAUGAGAUGGGCACCCUUAAGAGAGAAAUAUGAAACCAAAGUAAAGCUCUGGCCACCUAAAAACCACUGCAGAGCAGCUUCAAUCAUUGCUGACAGUAACCAGAGGGACAAGAAGACAUCCACCAAAUGGGAGUCCUGGCAGAAUGUCCUGCAGGAAAGGGGAUCCCUUGGCAUCAAACCCCAGGCCUCCCCGCAAAUACUCUUCAGCAGAAUUAGGAUAAGAGCCAAUGGAUCCCAUAACAUCUUGAGAUGGCCAUAAGAACUCUAAAUUCUCAGCUGAAGGUUCAGGCCUCAUGAAAUGAACAUGGGCCUUUCCUGUGGGUUCUUCGUUCCUCCCCUUGCUCCACCCACGAAGUCUACCAGGAGGGUUAAACCCCUCAGAACCAUAAGAACCAGACCAAGGCCAAGGAAUUAUCUCACUUCUCCCUGAUGGGGAAACGGUCAGGGAGUCGCCUCUUAAGACACAGUAUCAAAUGGGAGGAAACAAUAUAGGGCCAUGACACACACACACACACCAUACAUGCACACACACACGCAAUAUACAUACACACCUCACAUACACAUAUAUACAAACAUACACCACAGACACACACUGGUAUUGCAAGCUUCUAUCCAAAUGAAGGAACACUGAUGGUGUAAAAGCAAGUUUAAGAGGCAGUUUUUGAUAGAACUCUUAAAGAGACGGUAAGAUAAACCAGUAGCUUCCAUUAAUUAACUAGAACAACAAAGCUGUUCAGUCCCUAUGCUUCCCCCACAACUUGGAAAAUUCUAUCUAAUCCUCUUCAACAAGUCUAGAUUCUUCUCGUAGUCUUUAAGAUCCUUCUCUGCAAAGCCUUUCCUGGUCACUCCACAAUCUUUUCUUUCCUCUCUGGAUUCUUACAUCACUAAUAUAUGUACCACAAAAUAUAUUCUGUCUUGUGUGCAUGACAUGGUAGGGAGAGCACUGACUAUGAGAGGCAGGGAGCCUGAGGUUGAGACCCAGCCUAGCUACCUCCCUUCUUGACAAAAUCCUUUAACCUCUCCAAGCUCAGUUUCCUCUGGAAAAUGGGAUUAACAACUACCUUGGCUAUCUUUACAUCCAAUCAUGUAAAAGGAAUGAAAGCUAUUAAUUAUUCCAAGAAAUAUGUCUUGUUCUUUUCAUAAAGUCCUGCUUCCUUUCUAAUGCUCAACAGGGCUCCCAGUUGCAUUUCAUAAAUAUUUAAUGAAGCUGCCACUUCCAAAUGGCAUUUUUUUAAAGCCCAAAUCAUUCGGACACACAUGAAUAAAAACAUCUUUCCAAAGAUCAUGAGAAAAGAAGCGUUUAUUUUUCCAGCGAGAUUUGAAGCUUGAAAAUAAAGGCAUAUGUGCUGUUUUCCUGCAGCUGAUGCUGAAAGCUCGUAGAGGGAAGAAUUCAUUCCUACGGAAGUAAUAACCACUGGGCACAGCUAUAAGAUGAGGACUUACUCAGAGAACCUGGAGCCCCGCUGUAGGAGACAGGAGACAGUGCCUUCCCCUUGGACCCAAAGACUCAAUUUAAGGUAUACUGUGGUGUUUCUGAGAAGGAAAAGGCAAAGUGCUUUCACAUCUAGACCCAGCAGACUGUACCAUUAGGCUGGGCUCAGAAAACAACUAUUACCGCCACCCUUCAGAAAAGCCACUCUGAAUCCAUUACUGGGAGAAUGUUAAGAAAUAACAUAGAGCUCAAAUCAUUAGACUUAGUUCUCAGAACUGGGAAGAUGUAAUAGAAGAAUAAAGUCUGUACACAAACUCUUUAUUCUAAACACUACAGAAUUUGAGCGAUGGAAAAGGUGCUGGAACUCUUGCUCAUCUGGAACUUUUAGAUAUAAGUAAACUAAAGUCCAGGGAGAUUUGUGAUUUGCCUAAAAUUUCAUACACAGCAGAGUUAGUCCUGGGCCUAGACAGAGAUGCUUUUCAGGACUUUUCCACUGUGAAGAGUCAAUGGCCUCAUAGAUUUGAGCAUAUAUGAAAGAUAAUCUAAAAAGUCUUCUAAAAAUUUAUGUAGUCUUCUAAGACAAAGGGCAGGCACAAAGGCAUAUAUUCAUUAUAGAUUCUAAACUCCGCAGGUUUUUUUUUUUUUUUUUUUGUAAUUAGACCUCAACCAAAUAAAUAAUAAAUCUGUGAAUACUAUUUGGCUCCAAUUCUUAAACUAUAUAUAUUUAGGCUUUAAUAUUAGAAAAUCCAUUAGAUAAUACACCACAAGACACCAUAAACUCUUUAUAAAUAAUUAUCAAAUCCAGAUCUCUAAAAUACAGAAAAAGAAGUUAAAGUGACCAUCAUGAUAAGGAAAAAAACAUUAACCUACAAAAUC
rnacentral:lncRNA from 1 species